rnacentral:rRNA from 1 species
GACGUAGGGCGCGAGCGUUGUCCGGAUUUAUUGGGCGUAAAGAGCUCGUAGGCGGCUUGUCGCGUCGUUCGUGAAAACCUGCAGCUCAACUGCAGGCUUGCGGUCGAUACGGGCAGGCUAGAGUUCGGUAGGGGAGACUGGAAUUCCUGGUGUAGCGGUGAAAUGCGCAGAUAUCAGGAAGAACACCAAUGGCGAAAGCAGCUCUCUGGGACGGUACUGACGCUGAGACGCGAAAGCGUGGGGAGCGAACAGG